ensembl:lncRNA
CUCGGAACAGAAUUCUGUCUCUGGGAGGCGUUGUCUACAGUAAGAGAGGAUGAACUUAGUCACCUAAGUUAAACACCUGAAGGUAACAAUCCCAUAAUACCACUAAUUUCAGUAGGAGCUGAGAGUGUUAAGCAGCAUGUAAGAAGUAUCUAGGUCUUUGAAAGCUCCAUCUGUUAUUGAAUAAAUGAGAUAACCAGCAGCUACCAAACAGUAAACAAGACUUAUUUGCAGAGCCCUUGUACUUUACAGGUCUGUUGAUUUUAUUUAUUUAUUUAUUUUCCCGUGGGAAGUACAAAUUAUUUCCCAAGAGCAAACUGAACUAGAUUUACUGCAAACACCAGUGUGACUGAACAGGAACUCUGCAGUCACAGCCAAGCCCCAGGCAGCUAUGGAGGAAAAAAAGAUGCAACUAUAAAGACUGUAGACUUCAAUUAAACGUGUUUUUCUGGUUUUCUAUGAGGAAAAACCAACCAACAAACAAAAAAAACCACAAGAAUUUGACCAGCUGUCCAGUGACACUGUGGUGAAGCAGCUGUAUACAUCACCUCAGCCCAACUUCUCCUGGAUCUGUACAAUUGGACAUCUUUGGAAGACCUCUGUUCUUCUUCUGCCAUACCCAGCUAAUCUGUACCUUCUGGAAAGAAAGAUAAGCAGCAGGAUUGGUCUCAAGAUGCAUGGAAGGAUGUUUACACAGAAGGCUAAUUGAAUUUCCCCUUCUGCUAGUCCUGCUGAGCAGAGUGAUCCAAAAGCUCUACUUCUCUUCCAAGAAAAUGGAGCGGAUGUUUCUAAGCAUAGCACAACAUCUUUUCAUUACAGAAAGUAGUAACGUUGGAGGGAGUGUUAGCGGCACUGAUAUUUGGGAGGCUGUGAGUCUUUUCUGAAAUGCUGUUCUGACAAUUUCAGACAUUUCUUGGCUCAAUAAACAAAGAACAAAAUCCUUGCAGCAAGUAAUGGCUGUAGCUGGGUCACGUUGACCAGCAUGUUAAGCAGGAUUACCCACCUCAGCACAAGGAAGACACAUUUACACCAAGUAGCUAAAGCAGUUUAGUUCACAAGCUGGUAAAGAUAGCCCAGAUGUUUUCUUAAUCAUAUAAUAUGAUAUGCUCUUAAAGAAUAAUUUAAUAUUUUCCCUAGAUAAUUGCAUCGUCUUCCCCUAUGUUGUUCUCAGAUGAGUAUGAGUGAUGCAACUCCUUGAUUUUGGGAAGCAUCUUAUAUUAGCAUCUUUCCUAAGUAAACUCUGACCACAGCUAAGCCCAAGAACAUGAGGUCUAAGUCACUCGCUGAGGCCAAUAUUCUGUGCUUUAAACAUCCUUUCAUUAAGGCUAGUUUACCUACAGACUAUAGCUGGGGUUUCAAAUCCUAAAAAAGUUCCCCUAACAGGAAUGGUAGAAAACAGAAGACAUAGAAGGUUACUCGUCCAAAAUAUACAGAAUGAAAUGUUGGGGAAAAGCAACAAACCAUAACAUUAUUGGGGAAAAGAGAAGAACAUUGAUUACAUGCUUAUUCAUCCAAUAUCCAACCUUUAAAAUAAAACCUUUAAAAUAAAAUCCCCAAAGAGUGAACCACUCAUAGAUUCAAGACUGUGUCAGUACACUGUAGAGACAUACCAGGCUCAGUCUGAGUUAUGCCAGUGUCUGCUAUGUCCACUUUUAGCCACAUUUAAUAUAACCCACUUUUAAUUUCCUGAUGGCAGAGUUCACAGAAAUUCCUUCUGCUCUAUUAACAUCACAGUUUUAAACUGCUUUCUUCCCCAGUGUGUAUCACAUCCCACGCUCUGUAUGCAUGCUCUGAAAUACUCUCAAAAGCAAAAGGACACCCUCCUUCCUUAUCUCCACUGUGUGUGAUGGUGCUCAAUCUUUUUGUGGUAAUUACCAAAUGAUAACUCACUAGAAAUAUAAAUUAUCUCAGCUGUAGCUCCAUAGUAUUUAAAACAACAUCGCUAUCCAUAUCCACGUGCUCUUUUAGAUGGCUUCUUGGUCAUAUUUUCACUUUAUUAGUACCUUUUUUUGGUUCUUUCUGUCUUAUUUGGGGUUCUCAAAUGACAUCACAGGCUUGUUACGCUAUGUCUCUAAAACCACAAAAGAAAAUAAAAUUUCUGUUCCUAAGUUCCUUGAAACUUUUCUGAGACUUACUAUGUCAUUAUAGACAGAGCCAAGCACAAUAUCCUACUCAUAAGGACAGAUCUCUCAUAAAGACUGGAAAGAGUUAAAAUUCCCCUCUU